UACGUAGGGUGCAAGCGUUAAUCGAAGAUUACUGGGCGUAAAGCGUGCGCAGGCGGUUAUGUAAGACAGAUGUGAAAUGCCCGGGCUUAACCUGGGAACUGCAUUUGUGACUGCAUGGCUAGAAUCUGGCAGAGGGGGGUAGAAUUCCACGUGUAGCAGUGAAAUGCGUAGAUAUGUGGAGGAAUACCGAUGGCGAAGGCAGCCCCCUGGGCUAACACUGACGCUCAUGCACGAAAGCGUGGGGAGCAAACAGG
rnacentral:rRNA from 1 species